UACGUAGGGGGCAAGCGUUGUCCGGAUUUAUUGGGCGUAAAGAGCGUGUAGGCGGUUAGGUAGGUCCGUUGUGAAAACUCGAGGCUCAACCUCGAGACGCCGAUGGAAACCAUCUAACUAGAGUCCGGAAGAGGAGAGUGGAAUUCCUGGUGUAGCGGUGAAAUGCGCAGAUAUCAGGAGGAACACCCGUGGCGAAAGCGGCUCUCUGGGACGGUACUGACGCUGAGACGCGAAAGCGUGGGGAGCAAACAGG
rnacentral:rRNA from 1 species